UUUGAGCAUUUCUUUUACAAGACUGGGUCCUGAGACAGACUGGGUCCAACUUAAACUGGACUAGGUCCAGUGGGAAAACUCAGAUGGGACCACUAAGAUACCCACUCACUCUGGAACCGGCAGAUGGGAUCCUGGAAAAAGUAGCAGAAACCAGUGGAGGGGAUUAUUUUAUAGACCUUCUCACCUAAGAUAAGGUGGACAUAGGGGAUUUUUUUAUUUCCAGCCUAUUGUAAACUUUUCCCUGAUAUAAAGAUGCAAAUUGAAGAUAAUGUAGUUAGAUGGACGGAUGAGCCCCUUUAUUAUAUCAUUUUUGUCACAACCUCAUUUUUUGAAGAAUUAAAAGCAACUGCAGUUGUCUUACAAAUCUGGUCUUUAUAAGAAAAAAUGUUCAAAGCCCACCUGUCCACCUGUCCUUUUAUUAAUCCCCAAGCUCUCCCUUUUCAUCUCAAAAUACUUGCAAGAUAUUGUAAAAGACCAAGAAACUGGAAAUAAAACUUCUUGGAGAAAACAUGUCCUUUGAGAUGUAAAUGUUCUACCUGGUCUGUAGGAACCCAGAGGAAUCUCUUUGAGUAAAAAUGCAACCCUUCAUUCACUUGGUUUCCAGUGAAAUCUUUAAAGUCUUCUCCAUAAUUAUUAGUAAAAAAAAAAAAUCUAAGCCCUCUAAGCAGGUAAACUUAACUUAUUCCAUCUGCCAGAAACAUAAUUUGAGUCCAACUCUUCUUCUGUAAACUAGUAAGUUUUAUACUUAAUGUAUCUGUUUCAUUGCUAAAAUUUUAAA